AUUUAAUGGUUGGGGUCACUGUAAGACCCCCCUUUCGGGGACCCCUACUCUAGUCUCGGGAGUGUGAGAGCACCCAAAGAAACACGAGGACCC
rnacentral:pre_miRNA from 7 species